GGUUAAGCGACUAAGCGUACACGGUGGAUGCCCUGGCAGUCAGAGGCGAUGAAGGACGUGCUAAUCUGCGAUAAGCGUCGGUAAGGUGAUAUGAACCGUUAUAACCGGCGAUUUCCGAAUGGGGAAACCCAGUGUGAUUCGUCACACUAUCAUUAACUGAAUCCAUAGGUUAAUGAGGCGAACCGGGGGAACUGAAACAUCUAAGUACCCCGAGGAAAAGAAAUCAACCGAGAUUCCCCCAGUAGCGGCGAGCGAACGGGGAGCAGCCCAGAGCCUGAAUCAGUGUGUGUGUUAGUGGAAGCGUCUGGAAAGGCGCGCGAUACAGGGUGACAGCCCCGUACACAAAAAUGCACAUGCUGUGAGCUCGAUGAGUAGGGCGGGACACGUGGUAUCCUGUCUGAAUAUGGGGGGACCAUCCUCCAAGGCUAAAUACUCCUGACUGACCGAUAGUGAACCAGUACCGUGAGGGAAAGGCGAAAAGAACCCCGGCGAGGGGAGUGAAAAAGAACCUGAAACCGUGUACGUACAAGCAGUGGGAGCCUCUUUAUGGGGUGACUGCGUACCUUUUGUAUAAUGGGUCAGCGACUUAUAUUCUGUAGCAAGGUUAACCGAAUAGGGGAGCCGAAGGGAAACCGAGUCUUAACUGGGCGUUAAGUUGCAGGGUAUAGACCCGAAACCCGGUGAUCUAGCCAUGGGCAGGUUGAAGGUUGGGUAACACUAACUGGAGGACCGAACCGACUAAUGUUGAAAAAUUAGCGGAUGACUUGUGGCUGGGGGUGAAAGGCCAAUCAAACCGGGAGAUAGCUGGUUCUCCCCGAAAGCUAUUUAGGUAGCGCCUCGUGAAUUCAUCUCCGGGGGUAGAGCACUGUUUCGGCAAGGGGGUCAUCCCGACUUACCAACCCGAUGCAAACUGCGAAUACCGGAGAAUGUUAUCACGGGAGACACACGGCGGGUGCUAACGUCCGUCGUGAAGAGGGAAACAACCCAGACCGCCAGCUAAGGUCCCAAAGUCAUGGUUAAGUGGGAAACGAUGUGGGAAGGCCCAGACAGCCAGGAUGUUGGCUUAGAAGCAGCCAUCAUUUAAAGAAAGCGUAAUAGCUCACUGGUCGAGUCGGCCUGCGCGGAAGAUGUAACGGGGCUAAACCAUGCACCGAAGCUGCGGCAGCGACGCUUAUGCGUUGUUGGGUAGGGGAGCGUUCUGUAAGCCUGCGAAGGUGUACUGUGAGGUAUGCUGGAGGUAUCAGAAGUGCGAAUGCUGACAUAAGUAACGAUAAAGCGGGUGAAAAGCCCGCUCGCCGGAAGACCAAGGGUUCCUGUCCAACGUUAAUCGGGGCAGGGUGAGUCGACCCCUAAGGCGAGGCCGAAAGGCGUAGUCGAUGGGAAACAGGUUAAUAUUCCUGUACUUGGUGUUACUGCGAAGGGGGGACGGAGAAGGCUAUGUUGGCCGGGCGACGGUUGUCCCGGUUUAAGCGUGUAGGCUGGUUUUCCAGGCAAAUCCGGAAAAUCAAGGCUGAGGCGUGAUGACGAGGCACUACGGUGCUGAAGCAACAAAUGCCCUGCUUCCAGGAAAAGCCUCUAAGCAUCAGGUAACAUCAAAUCGUACCCCAAACCGACACAGGUGGUCAGGUAGAGAAUACCAAGGCGCUUGAGAGAACUCGGGUGAAGGAACUAGGCAAAAUGGUGCCGUAACUUCGGGAGAAGGCACGCUGAUAUGUAGGUGAAGUCCCUCGCGGAUGGAGCUGAAAUCAGUCGAAGAUACCAGCUGGCUGCAACUGUUUAUUAAAAACACAGCACUGUGCAAACACGAAAGUGGACGUAUACGGUGUGACGCCUGCCCGGUGCCGGAAGGUUAAUUGAUGGGGUUAGCGCAAGCGAAGCUCUUGAUCGAAGCCCCGGUAAACGGCGGCCGUAACUAUAACGGUCCUAAGGUAGCGAAAUUCCUUGUCGGGUAAGUUCCGACCUGCACGAAUGGCGUAAUGAUGGCCAGGCUGUCUCCACCCGAGACUCAGUGAAAUUGAACUCGCUGUGAAGAUGCAGUGUACCCGCGGCAAGACGGAAAGACCCCGUGAACCUUUACUAUAGCUUGACACUGAACAUUGAGCCUUGAUGUGUAGGAUAGGUGGGAGGCUUUGAAGUGUGGACGCCAGUCUGCAUGGAGCCGACCUUGAAAUACCACCCUUUAAUGUUUGAUGUUCUAACGUUGGCCCCUAAUCGGGGUUGCGGACAGUGUCUGGUGGGUAGUUUGACUGGGGCGGUCUCCUCCUAAAGAGUAACGGAGGAGCACGAAGGUUGGCUAAUCCUGGUCGGACAUCAGGAGGUUAGUGCAAUGGCAUAAGCCAGCUUGACUGCGAGCGUGACGGCGCGAGCAGGUGCGAAAGCAGGUCAUAGUGAUCCGGUGGUUCUGAAUGGAAGGGCCAUCGCUCAACGGAUAAAAGGUACUCCGGGGAUAACAGGCUGAUACCGCCCAAGAGUUCAUAUCGACGGCGGUGUUUGGCACCUCGAUGUCGGCUCAUCACAUCCUGGGGCUGAAGUAGGUCCCAAGGGUAUGGCUGUUCGCCAUUUAAAGUGGUACGCGAGCUGGGUUUAGAACGUCGUGAGACAGUUCGGUCCCUAUCUGCCGUGGGCGCUGGAGAACUGAGGGGGGCUGCUCCUAGUACGAGAGGACCGGAGUGGACGCAUCACUGGUGUUCGGGUUGUCAUGCCAAUGGCACUGCCCGGUAGCUAAAUGCGGAAGAGAUAAGUGCUGAAAGCAUCUAAGCACGAAACUUGCCCCGAGAUGAGUUCUCCCUGACUCCCUGAGAGUCCUGAAGGAACGUUGAAGACGACGACGUUGAUAGGCCGGGUGUGUAAGCGCAGCGAUGCGUUGAGCUAACCGGUACUAAUGAACCGUGAGGCUUAACCUU
rnacentral:rRNA from 1 species